rnacentral:misc_RNA from 1 species
AGCGUAUGAAGUUCCCUCAAUCUGCAACCAAAUAUAAUAAAUCAGAAAGAGCAUAAUUAUGCUUCUGAUGAACCAAUACAAACAAUAAGGCCACCACCAGCCGGCAUGGCAACUUGAAGUAACACACAAAAGGAAUCUUCUAUGUCAUGGCAACUUGAAGAUUUAUUUCAUACAAUGACCUUAUUACAAAGAGCAAAAGGGAGGGUUAUUUAUCGGCUUAAAGCUCAAUUACACACCUAGGUUUAAAGCUCAAUUACACACCUAUAUUGUUGGAGAAAUUUAAUUUAGUUUAUUUUCAACUUUUUGUCCAAUUUAGUCCAAAAAUUUCAAUUUAAUCUCAAUUUAUCCCAAAAAUCAAGAAAUUGAGCUUCUUGAUUUUUGAGCUUAAAUCAAGAAAUUUCGUUCCAAAAUUAAGAAAUUAAACUUCUUGAUUUUUUAUCUAAAUCAAGAAAUUAAGAAAUUCACCAUAAAUUUUAAUUUUUAGGCUAAAUUGAACUUAAAUUGAAACUUCUGGGUUAAUUUGAACAAAAAGUUGAAAAUAAGCUAAAUUGAAUUUUCCCAAUAAAUACAGAGUUAAAUUGAACAUUUUGCCGUUGUUUAUCUAUUCUCAAAAGUUAAAUGUAUAAAUUUUAAAAUAACACUUUAUUUUUUGCAAGUACGAUUCUAUAUUGUCUUUAAACAAGAUCUAAAACCUAACCUUUAGGGAGAUUAGGUACAAGUCACAGCUUGCUAACAUCACUGCAUACCUGGCAAUUUCAGCUCUCCUUUUA